rnacentral:snRNA from 1 species
AAUAGAGAGAAGAAACAAGGGGAUUUAGGGAUUUUAAGGGAAAAUUGAAGAUUUGCUUUCUUAUUGAGGGAUGAUGAUUGUUCAUUCACCCAUAGCCUGUAAACUCAAACGUGUAUUUGCACAUGCGUGUAGAUACAGCUACGUUUGAACCCUUGAUGACAACUUUUCAUGCAUCACCAACUGACCUCAAUAUAGCUCUU